AAUUGUGUAUGUUUUCAUUUGCACCACACCUUGGUUAAUAAUAGGUGCGAGUAGGACUCUGCCAAGUUCAAAAUGGUUUUAUAAAUAGCAACACUCUUAGUAUUUGGAUAUCACAUAAACAAAGAAGAAAAGGAUCAUAAUAUAUGGAGAAGAAAAAUAUUGUUGGACUGUGCUUCUUCCUCAUCAUUUUGCUAGCUACUCCUACUCAAGAAACAAAGAUGAAUGUUGAAUAUGGCUGUGUGAGGCAUAGUAAAUAUUUCAUUGGUGAUUGUACUGUCUUCAUGGACUACUCUUGUACUUUUAAUUGCCUGAGUGAAUUUGAUGAAGCAAAUCCUGUCAUUGCUUUCUGCCAAUAUAACAAGUGCUAUUGUAUAAUAUGUUGAACUUAUCUAUAGUUACUUCAUGUUCAUGAAAUAAAUCAUGAAAUAAUAAUGAUGUUUCCUUUGUUUGAUAUGGAUUAUAAUAUGAUCACUACUAAAUUU